rnacentral:rRNA from 1 species
GAUGAACGUUGGCGGUGUGCCUAAUACAUGCAAGUCGAACGGAGUUAGUAGCAAUACUGGCUCAGUGGCGAACGGGUGAGUAACGCGUUGGUGAUCUGCCUUGAAGUGUGGAAUAACGUUUCGAAAGGAACGCUAAUACCGCAUGUGCUCUCGAUUUUCAGAAAGUUGAGAGUAAAGGAUUUAUUCGCUUCAAGAGGAGCCUGCGUCCCAUCAGCUGGUUGGUAGGGUAACGGCCUACCAAGGCUAUGACGGGUAGGGGACCUGAGAGGGUGGCCCCCCACAAUGGAACUGAAACACGGUCCAUACACCUACGGGUGGCAGCAGUAGGGAAUAUUAGAAAUGGACGAAAGUCUGAUCUAGCAACACCGCGUGUGCGAUGAAGGCCUUCGGGUCGUAAAGCACUUUUUGGAAGGAAUAGGAAGGAAUGUACUUCCAGAAUAAGUCUCGGCUAACUACGUG